UUGGAGUUGGUCCCUGCUCUGCCAGGAGGGGGCAUUGGAGUUGGUCUGCUCUGCCAGGAGGGGGGCAUUGGAGUUGGUCCCUGCUCUGCCAGGAGGGGGCAUUGGAGUUGGUCCCUGCUCUGCCAGGAGGGGGCAUUGGAGUUGGUCCCUGCUCUGCCAGGAGGUGGGCAUUGGAGUUGGUCCCUGCUCUGCCAGGAGGGGGGCAUUGGAGUUGGUCCCUGCUCUGCCAGGAGGGGGGCAUUGGAGUUGGUCCCUGCUCUGCCAGGAGGGGGGCUCCCUAUUCCUUAUGGUGGACAUCUUUUGACCUAAAGUAGUGCACUAUAUAGGGAAUAGGGCCCUGGCCAAAAGUAGUGUACUGUAUAGGGAAUAGGGUCCCUGGUCUAAAGUAGUGCACUAUAUAGGGAAUAGGGCUCUGGUCUAAAGUAGUGCACUAUAUAGGGAAUAGGGCUCCAUUUGGGAUGCACACUUUGCCGCUUACAUUGGGAAUGGACCUCCGCUAAAUAUCCUGCUUUAAGUCUGACUUUGUUUUCAUGGGGGAUUUACCUGCUUGUUGUUUUCAUGGGGGAUUUACCUGCUUGUUGUUUUCAUGGGGGAUUUACCUGCUUGUUGUUUUCAUGGGGGAUUUACCUGCUUGUUGUUUUCAUGGGGGAUUUACCUGCUUGUUGUUUUCAUGGGGGAUUUACCUGCUUGUUGUUUUCAUGGGGGAUUUACCUGCUUGUUGUUUUCAUGGGGGAUUUACCUGCUUGUUGUUUUCAUGGGGGAUUUACCUGCUUGUUGUUUUCAUGGGGGAUUUACCUGCUUGUUGUUUUCAUGGGGGAUUUACCUGCUUGUUGUUUUCAUGGGGGAUUUACCUGCUUGUUGUUUUCAUGGGGGAUUUACCUGCUUGUUGUUUUCAUGGGGGAUUUACCUGCUUGUUGUUUUCAUGGGGGAUUUACCUUUGUUUUUGUGGUAGAUUUACCCUCCAUGAACAAAUGGCUUACAGUACUUAUGUGAUGGCUCUUUGGUUCUCAUAUCAAGAUGGAAUUAACUACAGGCUACGUCCCAAAUGACACCCUUUUGGCCAGAGCCCGAUGGGUCGUAGUGCACUAUGAAGGGAAUUGGGUUUCAUUUGGGACAGAAACAGACUCCUGGCUUUCACAAUGUGUCUGUAUUCCUAAUGAUUUUAGCUCUGGCUUCAGAAGGAAGUCGUCUGAUGUCGUAGACCUGCGUAUUAUCACACGCCCCGGUGACGGGAGCGGUUUCUAUUGGUUGAUGUGGAGGCUGGCUGCUGCUCUCCUCAUUUCUGAUUGGCUGGGGUUUGUAGGUGUCACUGUAACCGUGCCUACCCAGCAGAGCUCGUAUGUAUUUAUGAUGUAUGUACAUGUAUGACAGGAAGUUGGUGGCUCCUCAGUUGGGUUUGGAUGGGUUUUGUGGUAAUGACUGGAGCGGAAUUAGUGGAAUGGAAUCAAGUACGUGGUUUCCAUGGUUUCCAUGAGGUUGAUGCCAUUCCAUCUGCUCCGUUCCAGACAUUGUUAUGAGCCGUCCUCCCCUUAGCAGCCUCCACUGACAUGUAUGUGUUGAUGCUGUACAAUAAAAUAACGGUCUCUCAGUGCA